ACGUACACUCCUACGGGAGGCAGCAGUGAGGAAUAUUGGACAAUGGGUGGAAGCCUGAUCCAGCCAUCCCGCGUGCAGGAAGACGGCCCUAUGGGUUGUAAACUGCUUUUAUCUGGGGAUAAACCUACUUACGUGUAAGUAGCUGAAGGUACCGGAAGAAUAAGCACCGGCUAACUCCGUGCCAGCAGCCGCGGUAAUACGGAGGGUGCAAGCGUUAUCCGGAUUUAUUGGGUUUAAAGGGUCCGUAGGCGGACUGAUAAGUCAGUGGUGAAAUCCGACAGCUUAACUGUCGAACUGCCAUUGAUACUGUUAGUCUUGAGUAAGGUUGAAGUGGCUGGAAUAAGUAGUGUAGCGGUGAAAUGCAUAGAUAUUACUUAGAACACCAAUUGCGAAGGCAGGUCACUAAGUCCUAACUGACGCUGAUGGACGAAAGCGUGGGGAGCGAACAGGAUUAGAAACCCUAGUAGUCCCAUG
rnacentral:rRNA from 1 species